GAUCCUGCCAGUAGUCAUAUGCUUGUCUCAAAGAUUAAGCCAUGCAUGUCUCAGUACAAACCAAAUUAAGGUGAAACCGCGAAAGGCUCAUUAAAUCAGUUAUGGUUCCUUAGAUCGUACCCACAUUUACUUGGAUAACUGUGGUAAUUCUAGAGCUAAUACAUGCAAACAGAGCUCCAACCGGAGACGGAAGGAGUGCUUUUAUUAGAUCAAAACCAAUCGGCGGCAGUAGCGUUUCGGCGUUAUUGUUCGUCGCACUAUUUGGUGACUCUGAAUAACUUUUUGCUGAUCGCACGGUCUAGCACCGGCGACGCAUCUUUCAAAUGUCUGCCUUAUCAACUGUCGAUGGUAGGUUCUGCGCCUACCAUGGUUGUAACGGGUAACGGGGAAUCAGGGUUCGAUUCCGGAGAGGGAGCCUGAGAAACGGCUACCACAUCCAAGGAAGGCAGCAGGCGCGCAAAUUACCCACUCCCGGCACGGGGAGGUAGUGACGAAAAAUAACGAUACGGGACUCAUCCGAGGCCCCGUAAUCGGAAUGAGUACACUUUAAAUCCUUUAACGAGGACCCAUUUGAGGGCAAGUCUGGUGCCAGCAGCCGCGGUAAUUCCAGCUCAAAUAGCGUAUAU
rnacentral:rRNA from 1 species